UACGGGGGGGGCAAGCGUUGUUCGGAAUUACUGGGCGUAAAGGGCUCGUAGGCGGCCAACUAAGUCGGAUGUGAAAUCCCCAGGCUUAACCCGGGAACUGCAUCCGAUACUGGAUGGCUUGAAUCCGGGAGAGGGAUGCAGAAUUCCAGGUGUAGCGGUGAAAUGCGUAGAUAUCUGGAGGAAUACCGGUGGCGAAGGCGGCAUCCUGGACCGGCAUUGACGCUGAGUGAGCGAAAGCCAGGGGAGCAAACGGG
rnacentral:rRNA from 1 species